rnacentral:tRNA from 14 species
GGAUGGUUGGCCGAGCGGUCGAAGGCACCCGCUUGCUAGGCGGGCAGGCAUGACAACCGACCUCAUGCUUCGCGGGUUCGAAUCCCGCACCAUCCGCCA